GCAAGUGGCUGUGGUCCCCUUCCACGGUGUGGGGGCUUUGUUCUUUCCCUCUUUGCAAUAAAUCUUGCUGCUGCUCACUCUUUGGGUCCACACUGUCUUUAUGAGCUGUAACAUUCACCGCGAAGGUUUGCAGCUUCACUCCUUAAGCCAGUGAAACCACUAACCCACCAAGAAGAAUGAACAAACAACUCCAGACGCGCGGCCUUAAGAGCUGUAACACUCACCGCGAAGGUCCGCAGCGUCUCUCCUGAGCUAGUGUGACCACGAACCAACCAGAAGGAACAAACUCCGAACACGCCGCCUUUAAGAACUGUAAUACUCACCGCGACGGCUUUUAAGAACUGUAACACUCACCGCGACGGUCGGCGGCUUCAUUCUUGAAGUCAGUCAGACCAAGAACCUACCAAUUCCGGACGCACUACCCGGGGGACAUGAUAAAUCUGGGAAGGGCACCUCAGGUUUUAUCUUCAUCAGCCUGGUCAAAGCUGGAUUUCCAUCACACAUGUGCUCACUCCACGGAACGUGCAAAAGGUCAAGACAUACAAACUCAGAGUUUUUAAAAUCAAGAAUUGAAAGUG
rnacentral:lncRNA from 10 species